AGCGGGACAUUUGAGGAUGGGGUGACUGCGUACCUUUUGUAUAAUGGGUCAGCGACUUAUAUUCUGUAGCAAGGUUAACCGUAUAGGGGAGCCGUAGGGAAACCGAGUCUUAACUGGGCGAAUGAGUUGCAGGGUAUAGACCCGAAACCCGGUGAUCUAUCCAUGGGCAGGUUGAAGGUUGGGUAACACUAACUGGAGGACCGAACCGACUAAUGUUGAAAAAUUAGCGGAUGACUUGUGGAUGGGGGUGAAAGGCCAAUCAAACCGGGAGAUAGCUGGUUCUCCCCGAAAGCUAUUUAGGUAGCGCCUCGUGAACUCAUCUUCGGGGGUAGAGCACUGUUUCGACUAGGGGGUCAUCCCGACUUACCAACUCGAUGCAAACUGCGAAUACCGAAGAAUGUUAUCACGGGAGACACACGGCGGGUGCUAACGUCCGUCGUGAAGAGGGAAACAACCCAGACCGCCAGCUAAGGUCCCAAAGUCAUGGUUAAGUGGGAAACGAAGUGGGAAGGCUCAGACAGCCAGGAUGUUGGCUUAGAAGCAGCCAUCAUUUAAAGAAAGCGUAAUAGCUCACUGGUCGAGUCGGCCCGCGCGGAAGAUGUAACGGGGCUAAACCAU
rnacentral:rRNA from 1 species